rnacentral:rRNA from 1 species
UUUCUCAGUACGGCGAGUGAAAGACGGGCAAGCCAGCACCGAAGCCUGUGGCCAUUUGGUUACUAGGCAAUGUGGUGUUCAGGUCGUUCCGCGGAGGUUCUGCUCCACCCUAAGUCCAUCAAUGAGUACGGUAUUAUGGACAUGGCCCAUAGAGGGUGAAAGGCCCGUGGGGGUGGAGAUUCGGCAGGACAGAACUUCUCUGGGUAGACCUUGGAGUCGGGUUGUUUGUGAAUGCAGCCCAAAGUGGGUGGUAAACUCCAUCCAAGGCUAAAUACUUGCACGAGUCCGAUAGCGAACAAGUACCGUGAGGGAAAGUUGAAAAGUACUUUGAAGAGAGAGUAAACAGUGCGUGAAACCGCUCAGAGGUAAACGGGUGGAGUUGAACUGCAAGCUCUGGGAAUUCAACUGGUGAGGGUGGUUUGAGCUUGGUCAUAUUGGUGGUCAUCGGGGUCUGUGUAGAAGCAGGUCUUCGCCUUCGGGUGGGGAUGCGCGAUGCACUUAUCAAGUGUUGUGCGCCUCGGUUGAUUCCCGGCCAACUCGCUAGUGCACUUUCUCAGAGUGGUCACCACGACCGGCGCCGCUGUCUGGCCGCUAAGGUUAAACCGGUUUUGCAUAGUCCCUGUGGCUUUGCUUAGUCGGGAUGGCAGGUAGCUCGUUGACUUGCUUGUGGUUCGCUGCAGGCGUGGUUUUCGAGUGUAAUCAGCUGACUUUGGUGGUUCUGUGCAGUGUGUCGGAGACGGCGGCUUGAGGUGUGUGCAUGCGUUGCUGUUGUGCUGACUGGUUCGAGUUUGGUUAUUUUGUAGCCUGUUCAAUCAGGUCUGGUAGUAGCUCGGACUUGUUCGGUCGGUGGUGGCGUGUGUGGCAUCGUUCCAAGGGCCAACAGUCUGUGGUGUAGUGGUAGACUAUCCACCUGACCCGUCUUGAAACG